GGGCGGUUAGCUCAGCCGGUUAGAGCACUUCCUUUACACGGAAGGGGUCAGGGGUUCGACUCCUCUACCGCCCACCA
rnacentral:tRNA from 1 species